AUAGUCUGGGGGAUACCACUUGGAAACAGGUGCUAAUACCGGAUAAGAAAGCAGAUCGCAUGAUCAGCUUUUAAAAAGGCGGCGUAAGCUGUCGCUAUGGGGAUGGCCCCGCGGUGCAUUAGCUAGUUGGUAAAGGGUAAAAGGGCUUACCAAGGCGAUGAUGCAUAGCCGAGUUGAGAGACUGAUCGGCCACAUUGGGACUGAGACACGGCCCAAACUCCUACGGGAGGCAGCAGUAGGGAAUCUUCCACAAUGGACGCAAGUCUGAUGGAGCAACGCCGCGUGAGUGAAGAAGGGUUUCGGCUCGUAAAGCUCUGUUGUUGGUGAAGAAGGACAGGGGGUAGUAACUGACCUUUGUUUGACGGUAAUCAAUUAGAAAGUCACGGCUAACUACGUGCCAGCAGCCGCGGUAAAU
rnacentral:rRNA from 1 species